rnacentral:rRNA from 1 species
UAGGGAAUCUUCGGCAAUGGGGGGAACCCUGACCGAGCAACGCCGCGUGAGUGAAGAAGGUUUUCGGAUCGUAAAGCUCUGUUGUUAAGGAAGAACGAGUGUGAGAAUGGAAAGUUCAUGCUGUGACGGUACUUAACCAGAAAGGGACGGCUAACUACGUGCCAGCAGCCGCGGUAAUACGUAGGUCACGAGCGUUGUCCGGAUUUAUUGGGCGUAAAGCGAGCGCAGGCGGUUAGAUAAGUCUGAAGUUAAAGGCAGUGGCUCAACCAUUGUAGGCUUUGGAAACUGUUUAACUUGAGUGCAGAAGGGGAGAGUGGAAUUCCAUGUGUAGCGGUGAAAUGCGUAGAUAUAUGGAGGAACACCGGUGGCGAAAGCGGCUCUCUGGUCUGUAACUGACGCUGAGGCUCGAAAGCGUGGGGAGCGAACAGG